GCCAACAUAGCUCAGCGGUAGAGCAGCGGUUUUGUAAACCGCCGGUCGUCGGUUCAAUUCCGACUGUUGGCUCCA
rnacentral:tRNA from 2 species